rnacentral:rRNA from 14 species
GAAUUCUCAUCCUACCCACCUGUGUCGGUUUACGGUACGGUCUGCGUAAGCUGAAGCUUAGGAGCUUUUCCUGGAAGCGUGGUAUCAGUGACUUCGCCUUAAAGGCUCGUCUCGGUGCUCGGUCUUAGAGGAUCCCGGAUUUGCCAAAGAUCCAAACCUACCGCCUUUCCCCAGGACAACCAACGCCUGGUACACCUAACCUUCUCCGUCCCUCCAUCGCACUUACGCGAGGUGCAGGAAUAUUAACCUGCUUCC